rnacentral:rRNA from 1 species
GAUGAACGCUGGCGGCGUGCUUAACACAUGCAAGUCGAACGAAGCACUUUAACCUGAUUCUUCGGAUGAAGGUUUUUGUGACUGAGUGGCGGACGGGUGAGUAACGCGUGGGUAACCUGCCUCAUACAGGGGGAUAACAGUUAGAAAUGACUGCUAAUACCGCAUAAGACCACAGAGCCGCAUGGCUCGGUGGGAAAAACUCCGGUGGUAUGAGAUGGACCGCGUCUGAUUAGGUAGUUGGUGGGGUAACGGCCUACCAAGCCAACGAUCAGUAGCCGACCUGAGAGGGUGACCGGCCACAUUGGGACUGAGACACGGCCCAAACUCCUACGGGAGGCAGCAGUGGGGAAUAUUGCACAAUGGGGGAAACCCUGAUGCAGCGACGCCGCGUGAGCGAAGAAGUAUUUCGGUAUGUAAAGCUCUAUCAGCAGGGAAGAAAAUGACGGUACCUGACUAAGAAGCACCGGCUAAAUACGUG